AUUGAACGCUGGCGGCAGGCCUAACACAUGCAAGUCGAGCGGAGCGGCGGACGGGUGAGUCAUGUAUGGGGAUCUGCCCGAUAGAGGGGGAUAACUACUGGAAACGGUGGCUAAUACCGCAUACCAUCGGAUGAACCCAUAUGGGAUUAGCUAGUAGGUGGGGUAAAGGCUCACCUAGGCGACGAUCGCUAGCUGGUCUGCGAGGAUGAUCAGCAACACGGGGACUGAGACACGGCCCAGACUCGUACGGGAGGAAGCAGGGGGGAAUAUUGGAAAAUGGGCGAAAGCCUGAUCCAGCCAUGCCGCGAGUGUGAAGAAGGUCUUCGGAUUGUAAAGCACUUUAAGUUGGGAGGCGUUACCAACAGAAGAAGCACCGGCUAACUUCGUGCCAGCAGCCGCGGUAAUUC
rnacentral:rRNA from 1 species